rfam:Ovis aries breed Texel chromosome 7, whole genome shotgun sequence.
UCCUUCAUAGCCUAGUUGGUAAAUCAUCUGCCUGCAAUGCAGGAGACACAGGUUCAAUUCCUGGCUUGGGAA